CUUAGCAGAGAUGCUUUGGUGCCUUCGGGAACUCUGAGACAGGUGCUGCAUGGCUGUCGUCAGCUCGUGUUGUGAAAUGUUGGGUUAAGUCCCGCAACGAGCGCAACCCUCAUCCUUUGUUGCCAGCGGUUCGGCCGGGAACUCAAAGGAGACUGCCGGUGAUAAACCGGAGGAAGGUGGGGAUGACGUCAAGUCAUCAUGGCCCUUACGGCCAGGGCUACACACGUGCUACAAUGGCGCAUACAAAGAGAAGCGACCUCGCGAGAGCAAGCGGACCUCAUAAAGUGCGUCGUAGUCCGGAUUGGAGUCUGCAACUCGACUCCAUGAAGUCGGAAUCGCUAGUAAUCGUAGAUCAGAAUGCUACGGUGAAUACGUUCCCGGGCCUUGUACACACCGCCCGUCACACCAUGGGAGUGGGUUGCAAAAGAAGUAGGUAGCUUAACCUUCGGGAGGGCGCUUACCACUUUGUGAUUCAUGACUGGGGUGAAGUCGUAACAAGGUAAGCGUAGCGAG
rnacentral:rRNA from 1 species